GGGCAUAUAGCUCAAGGGGUAGAGCGCAUACCAUGCGCGAGGUCCUGGGUUCAAUCCCCAGUAUCUCCA
rnacentral:tRNA from 1 species